rnacentral:rRNA from 1 species
CCUACGGGUGGCUGCAGUGAGGAAUAUUGGUCAAUGGACGAGAGUCUGACCCAGCCAAGUAGCGUGAAGGAUGACUGCCCUAUGGGUUGUAAACUUCUUUUAUAUGGGAAUAAAAUGUUCCACGUGUGGGAUUUUGUAUGUACCAUAUGAAGAAGGAACGGCUAACUCCGUGCCAGCAGCCGCGGUAAUACGGAGGAUCCGAUCGUUAUCCGGUUUUAUUGGGUUUAAAGGGAGCGUAGGUGGAUUGUUAAGUCAGUUGUGAAAGUUUGCGGCUCAACCGUAAAAUUGCAGUUGAAACUGGCAGUCUGGAGUACAGGAGAGGUGGGCGGAAUUCGUGGUGUAGCGGUGAAAUGCUUAGAUAUCACGAAGAACUCCGAUUGCGAAGGCAGCUUACUGGACUGCAACUGACACUGAGGCUCGAAAGUGUGGGUAUCAAACAGGAUUAGAUACCCCUGUAGUC